rnacentral:rRNA from 1 species
UACGGGGGGGGCAAGCGUUGUUCGGAAUUACUGGGCGUAAAGGGCUCGUAGGUGGCCAACUAAGUCAUACGUGAAAUCCCUCGGCUUAACCGGGGAACUGCGUCUGAUACUGGAUGGCUUGAGGUUGGGAGAGGGAUGCGGAAUUCCGGGUGUAGCGGUGGAAUGCGUAGAGAUCCGGAAGAACACCGGUGGCGAAGGCGGUCGACUGGGCCAGUACUGACGCUGAGGCGCGACAGCGUGGGGAGCAAACAGG